rnacentral:rRNA from 1 species
GACGAACGCUGGCGGCGUGCUUAACACAUGCAAGUCGAACGGAAAGGCCCUUCGGGGUACUCGAGUGGCGAACGGGUGAGUAACACGUGGGUGAUCUGCCCUGCACUUUGGGAUAAGCCUGGGAAACUGGGUCUAAUACCGAAUAGGAUCAUGGCCUUCAUGGGUUGUGGUGGAAAGCUUUUGCGGUGUGGGAUGGGCCCGCGGCCUAUCAGCUUGUUGGUGGGGUAAUGGCCUACCAAGGCGACGACGGGUAGCCGGCCUGAGAGGGUGACCGGCCACACUGGGACUGAGAUACGGCCCAGACUCCUACGGGAGGCAGCAGUGGGGAAUAUUGCACAAUGGGCGCAAGCCUGAUGCAGCGACGCCGCGUGAGGGAUGACGGCCUUCGGGUUGUAAACCUCUUUCAGCAGGGACGAAGCGCAAGUGACGGUACCUGUAGAAGAAGGACCGGCCAACUACGUGCCAGCCGCCGCCGUAA